rnacentral:rRNA from 1 species
AGACGUCUACAUUAGACUACCCGUGUAGUCCCAGCCGUAAACUAUGCUCGCUAGGUGUCAGGCAUGGCGCGACCGUGUCUGGUGCCGCAGGGAAGCCGUGAAGCGAGCCACCUGGGAAGUACGGCCGCAAGGCUGAAACUUAAAGGAAUUGGCGGGGAGCACAACAACGGGUGGAGCCUGCGGUUUAAUUGGACUCAACGCCGGAAAUCUCACCGGAUAGGACAGACAUAUGAUAGUCGGGCUGAAGACUCUACUUGAUGAUCUG